rnacentral:rRNA from 1 species
GACGAACGCUGGCGGCGUGCUUAAUACAUGCCAGUCGAACGGAAAGGCCCGGCGUUUGUUGGGUUCUCGAGUGGCGAACGGGUGAGUAACACGUGAGUAACCUGCCCUUGUCUGUGUGAUAUCUUCAGGAAACUGGGGCUAAUACCGGAUAUGAUCUCCUGCUGCAUGGGGGUGGUUGGAAAGUGUCGGCGGUUGGGGAUGGACUCGCGGGUUAUCAGCUUGUUGGUGGGGUAGUGGCUUACCAGGGCUUUGACGGGUAGCCGGCAUGAGAGGGUGACCGGCGACAUUGGGCCUGAGGUACGGCCCAGAAUCCUACGGGACGCAGCAGUGGGGAACAUUGCACAAUGGGGGGACGCCUGAUGCAGAAACGCCGCGUGCGGGAUGCCGGCCUACGGGUUGUAAACCGCUUUCGCAUGUGACGAAGCGUGAGUGACGGUAAUGGGUAAAGAAGCAACGGCUAACUACGUG